CGUAGCUCAGCUGGAUAGAGCGCUGCCCUCCGAAGGCAGAGGUAAAGCCCCAAAAUUGCGCUCAAUCUCUUCGUAAACCA
rnacentral:tRNA from 1 species